UCAGACUGCACUCAGCAAAGAAGAAAACCUCAUCGCUGAGUGCCGGUAUGCUGCCAGCGCAGGAAGUCUAAUUGUACACAUAGUCUUGAUUUACCUCAUGGUCCGAUGUUAUCGAAACUUUGGAUUAGGACUAAAAGAAAAAGUAUACCCGCGGCAGACCACCACCACUGGAGUGCAAAGCAGUCUGGUUCAGUAAUCGUGUGACACAAAAUAGUUGUAUCAGUAUACUUACACUAGUCCUUCAAGUGACUUAUUUUACUUAUCAAAGUUAUAGCUCUUAAGAAUAGAUAUUUUAUUAUAUAAGCAAGGCCAAAGAUUAUGGAAAACUGUAAGAGAAGUAAUAUGCAGCAAUAGUAUGCCUAAGUCAUGUGGAAUAAAUGUUGAUAUUUUUGUUUUGUUAUAAUGCUCAAGUUCGAGUGAUAGUAAUAUAUAUAUA